rnacentral:rRNA from 1 species
GCUUAGCCCUAAACCCAAACAGCUACCAAACAAGACUGCUCGCCAGAGAACUACUAGCAAAUGCUUAAAACUCAAAGGACUUGGCGGUGCCCUAAACCCACCUAGAGGAGCCUGUUCUAUAAUCGAUAAACCCCGAUAAACCUUACCCCCUUUUGCCAAUACAGCCUGUAUACCGCCAUCGUCAGCCCACCUCAUCAGAGAACUAAAGUGGGCAAGAUUAUUAUUCAUAAAAACGUUAGGUCAAGGUGUAGCGUAUAAGAGGGAAAGCAAUGGGCUACAUUUUCUAUACUAGAAUACAACGAACUAUCUCUUGAAAGCUAAGACAUCCGAAGGAGGAUUUAGUAGUAAAUUAAGAAUAGAGAGCUUAAUUGAAUUAGGCAAUAGGGCGCGC